CGUGGAGGAACACAAAACUGGCCUCACCACAAAUAUCUUCUUGUUACUUGGUCUUCUUCACCGAUUAAAUUACAGGCAUAACUAAAAAUAAUUUUAUACAGAAGAAAAGAUGGGAGAGAGAGAGGAGGUGAAACUGUUGGGAACAUGGUACAGUCCGGUCGUGUUAAGAGCAAAGAUAGCUCUUCGUCUCAAAUCGGUUGAUUAUGAUUACGUUGAAGAAGAUUUGUUCGGAUCCAAGAGUGAGCUUCUUCUCAAAUCUAACCCGGUUUACCAGAAAGUCCCGGUUCUCAUCCACAACAGUAAACCGGUUUGUGAGUCUCUUAACAUCGUUGAAUACAUCGAUGAGACGUGGAAAUCAUCUGGACCGUCCAUUCUUCCUUCUCAUCCUCAUGAUCGAGCUCUCGCUCGCUUCUGGUCUGCCUUCGUUGAUGACAAGUGGUUUCCAGUUUUCAUAGCGGCGAGUGUUGGAAACACAAAAGUCUUUGAUUGUCCUUGAUGAUAUAUGGAGAGAAGGAGAUUGGGGCAUGAUUAAACCAAUUUUUCCACGGAACAAAGGUUGGAAGGUACUACUUAUAUCUCGUAACGAGAGUAUUGCAUUACGAGCAGAUCCAACAUGUUUUACCUUUAAACUAAAUUUUCUAACUCCCGAAGAAAGUUGGACAAUUUUCCAAAGGAUAGUGUUUCCCACAGAAAAUAUUACCAAACAUAAAGCUGAUCAAGAAAUGGAAGAGAUGGGUAAGAAGAUGAUCGAACAUUGUGGAGGUCUACCUUUGGCUGUUAAGGUAUUAGGCGGGUUGUUAGCUGCUCAACACACAUUAAGUGAGUGGAAAAGGAUAUAUGAGAAUCUCACAUCUCACAUCGUAGGAGGGGCUAGCUUCAGUGAUAACAAUAUCAGUUCAGUUUACCAAAUAUUGUCUCUGAGCUAUGAAGAGCUGCCUAUUUAUCUGAAGCACUGCUUCCUCUACCUAGCAGGUGUUCCAGAAAAUGAUGCAAUAGAUGUGAGAGAAUUGUCCUAUUACUGGGCCGCAGAAGGAAUACCAAAGUCGAGGUAUUAUGAUGGAGAGACCAUUCGAGAGCUCGCUGAUGGAUACAUAGAAGAAUUGGUGAACAGAAACAUGGUAAUUUCUAAACGAGACGUAACGACAUCAAGAUUUGAAACGUGUCAUUUGCAUGAUAUGAUGAGAGAAGUUAAUCUAUUUAAAGCUGGAGAAGAGAAUUUCCUACAAAAUGUUAAUGCAAGUACCGUUACCUCAAGUAGUGCAAACUCUCGGUAUCUAAGUGAACCUCGCAGACUCGUCAUACAUUCUUGUGACGAUACAUAUCUUAUAAAGAAUCCAAAAAUUAGAUCUCUCUCGUUCAGAGGGUCAAAGUUUAUGGCAUCAGGUUUAUACUUUACAAAGGUACAGUUGAUGAGGGUUUUAGAUCUCUCUGGUGCAAGGUUUGAGGGAGGGAAGUUACCUUCUAACAUUGGAAAGCUCAUCCAUUUACGGUACUUGAGUUUACACAGUGCACAAGUAUCUCAUCUACCUUCUUCUAUGCAGAAUCUGAAGUUGCUCCUCUAUUUGAAUCUAAAUGUGGAAGCAGGGCCUCCACUUGAUGUGCCUAAUAUCUUGAAUGAGAUGCAAGAACUGAGGUACCCUUGGUUACCGUAUAAAAUACGUGAUGAGAAAAAGUUGGAAUUAGGUAAUCUAAUCAACUUGGAGACAUUGGAGUAUUUUUCAACAAAGCAUAGCAGCGUUGGGGAUCUUCACUGUUUGACAAGGCUUGAGACUCUAUCAGUCUUAUUCAACGGCGAAGGGUGCACUAAAGAAACUCUAUGUUCAUCUCUUAAUGGGAUGUGACACUUGGAAAAUCUUACCAUUGAUGGUUACACGAAUGAUGAAGAAGAAAUCGUAUUGAAAUGCGUCCAUCUCAAAAAGCUGAAUUUGACUCUAUAUAUGCCAAGGUUACGUGAUGUGCAAAGUUUUCCUUCUGUCCUUACAAGCAUAAAUCUGAAGAAUUGUUGUCUGAAGGAGGAUCCAAUGCCUAUUCUAGAGAAGCUACAUACUUCACUUAUAUGAUGUCAAAUUAUCAUUUAAAUCUUUUUGUGGUAAGAGAAUGGUUUGCUUGAGCGGGGGGUUUCCUCAAUUGCAUACGCUUUCAAUAUUGGGACUAUUGGAAUGGGAAGAGUGGGUCGUAGAAGAAGGCUCCAUGCCCCUGCUUCAUACUAUGACUAUUAGUGACUGUAAGAAACUAAAGGUAUUUCCUGAUGGGUUCAGAUUUAGCUACAGUUUGAAGGAUGUUGUUAUGGACAAUGAAUGGAAGGAGAGAUUGUCCAAAGGAGGAGAAGAUUAUUACAAAUUCCAACACAUCCCUUUUGUUAAAUUCUCUGGCGUAUGUACUAUGGAAACUCUAUCUUCGUCUCUAGGUGAUCACAUGGCCAGUACAAGUGAAGUUCUUCCUAUCCGCAGCCAUGAUGUUGACGAAUCUGAUUCUACUAAAGAGAUGAUGACUCAAGAAUCAGAAUGCAUAUUAGUCUUUUCAUGCAAUGACAACCAUGAUGUGGAAGAAUCACAUUACAUGGAAGCCAUCUUAAAAGAGUUGCAAGAGCGGGGGGUCACACCUUUGACAUGUAAUCUAUCUGGUAGAGAGAGUUUGAACACAAAUAUGCUAGAAAGAUGUAGUGUUGGUAUUAUGGUACUUUCAACUAGUUACGUUUGUUCUACACAGUCCAUGGAUCAUCUUGUGGCAAUCAUGGAGCACUGGAAAGAGAAAAACCUUGUGAUUAUUCCUAUAUAUUUCAAAGUAACACGUCAAGACAUUUUUGGAUUGAAAGGCAAGUCUGAAGCAGCGUUUCUGCACCUUCAGAGUUCUGUCCAGGAAGACAGAGUUCAGAAAUGGAAGAUGGCUCUGGCUGAAAUAGCAUCCAUAGAUGGACAUGAAUGGACAAAAGGGACUCAGGUUGUGCUUGCGGAGGAAGUUGUAAGAAACGCAUGCUUAAGGUUAUAUUUGAAAAAUAGCAAGAAUCUGGUCAGAAUCUUAGCAUUGUUAAAUCAGUCCCAACCUUCAGAUGCAGACAUUGUGGGGAUUUGGGGUAUGGCAGGAAUAGGUAAGACAUCUAUUGCUAGAGAAAUUUUUGGAACUCUAGCACCAAAAUAUGAUUUGUGUUACUUCUACAAGACUUUGAUCUAAUCAGUGUCGUGCCCAGGUUUAUGGGGGCUUAAGGCAAACUUGAAAUCGGGGGCUAAUUUUUUUUUUUUUUA